UACGAAGGGGGCUAGCGUUGUUCGGAAUUACUGGGCGUAAAGGGCGCGUAGGCGGCCAUUCAAGUUAGGUGUGAAAGCCCUGGGCUCAACCUAGGAAUUGCACUUGAUACUGUUUGGCUUGAGUCCGGAAGAGGAGAGUGGAAUUCCUGGUGUAGCGGUGAAAUGCGCAGAUAUCAGGAAGAACACCCGUGGCGAAGGCGGCUCUCUGGGACGGUACUGACGCUGAGACGCGAAAGCGUGGGGAGCGAACAGG
rnacentral:rRNA from 1 species